UAAACUGCCUGAUUAUGAGGAUGUUGAAAUUCUUGGAGAUGACGAAGAUGAAGAUGAUGUUGGGACAAUUCUUAGAGGCUCAAAAGGAAAUAGUAAGGUUCAAAAGAAGGCAAGGACAAAGGGUCCAAUAGAUUUAUAUUUUGCCAAAAGUGCUGCAAAGGCGGUACAGGAUAGAAAAAAUUCAAAGCUGAAGCAAACCACUAUUAAUGAGGCAUGUAAAAAGGAAUUGCGAAAAAAAGCAUGUAAGGAUAUAGCUCGAUGGAUGUAUGAUGCGGCAAUUCAUUUUAAUACUGUCAAUUAUCCAAGUUUUCAAGUUAUGAUGGAGUCUAUUGGACAAUUUGGGAUUGGUAUGAAAGCACCUAGUUUUCAUGAGGUGCGGGUUCCCUUAUUGAAUGAAGAAGUUGCUGAGGUGAAGAAUUCAUUAAAGUCCUAUGAAGAAGAAUGGGCAAAGUAUGGUUGUUCUAUAAUGGCAGAUGGUUGGACUGAUAAGAAACAAAGGACUUUGAUUAAUUUCUUGGUGAAUUCUCCAAAGGGAACUGUUUUCAUGGAAUCUGUUGAUGCUUCAGAGUACUCAAAAACUGGUGAUAAGAUGUAUGACCUGCUUAAUAGAUUUGUAGAGCGUGUUGGAGAGGCUAAUGUGGUUCAAGUUGUGACAGAUAAUGCUAGCAAUUGUGUGCUUGCAGGUAAUUAAGAGUUUUUAUUCUUACUAUUAUUAGAUAGUUUAAUUUAAUUGUAAGUAAAUAAUGUAUUUAAUAUUUAUGCUACUUGCUACCAUAUUUGUUUUGUUUUUAGGGAAGUUGUUAGAAACAAAGCGCCCUCAUUUGUAUUAGACUCCUUGUGCUGCUCAUUGCAUAGAUUUGAUGCUAGAAGAUAUUGGAAAAAUUCCCAAAAUUCAUAACACAAUUAAAAGGGCAGUGACAUUGAAUGGAUAUAUUUACAUUCGUCCGGGUGUGGUGAACAUGUUGCGGCACUUUACUGGUGAAAGAGAGCUAAUUAGGCCAGCUGUCACAAGAUUUGCAACUGCUUUUCUCACCCUUCAACGUAUACGUAAGCACAAGGCGAAUUUGAGAAAGAUGUUUACCUCAGAGGAAUGGACCAAAAGUAAGUUGGCAAAAGAACUUUCUAGUAAGAAAGUAUACAGUAUUGUCAUGAUGCCUACUUUUUGGACUAAUAUUGUUUAUAUCUUAAAGAUAUUUGGUCCAUUAGUUCGUGUGCUUAGAUUAGUUGAUGGUGAGAAAAUGCCUGCAAUGGGAUAUAUUUAUGAGGCUAUGGAUAGGGCUAAAGAAGCAAUUGCAAAGUCAUUUGGUGAAAACGAAGAAAAAUACAAGGCCAUAUUUGAGAUUAUUGAUAAACGGUGGGAAGGCCAACUCCACCAACCUUUGCAUGCAGCUGGAUAUUAUUUGAAUCCUGAAUUUUUUUAUUCAAAUGAGAAAAUUAAUGAAGAUGUUGAGGUUGUUACCGGUUUAUACCAAGUUGUAGCAAGGUUGAUUCCAAGCAAAGAAGAGCAAGACAAAAUAAUGGCACAAUUACCUUUUUAUCAAAAUGCUGAAGGCAUCUUUGGGAUGGAUAUGGCAAUUAGGAAUCGAAAGAAAGUAUCUCCAGGUAAUAUAAUUUUACCCAUAAGCAUGUAAUCUCACAUUGCAAUCUUUUCGAAUAAUAAUUAAUAUACAUUAUUUUUUCAUUAGCUACAUGGUGGCUAACUUAUGGAGCAACAACUCCAAAUUUGAGAAAUUUUGCUGUUAAAGUGCUUAGCCUCACUUGUAGUGCAUCUGGUUGUGAGCGUAAUUGGAGCAUCUUUGAGCAUGUAAGUGACAAAACAUCUCCCUUUAGAAUUAUACCUUUAAUUUGUUCUUUCAAAAAUCAUACUUACUAAAAUUGUUAUAUUUUGCACAUUCACAGUAAAAAAAGAAAUAGACUAGCUCAAAAUCGCUUGAAUGAUUUGGUGUUUG
rnacentral:misc_RNA from 1 species